ACAGUGGCCCCAUCUAUAUUAACACAGCAAUGGUCACUCUGUUUCAAAUCAACAGAUUGCAACUGCAUUACCAUCUUAGAUUUUCUGCAUACUCCACUGAAAUUGUAACUUUUUUUUUUUGUAAAAAUAUCUAAAUGUCAGCCACAUAUUUUGUCAAUUAAAAACAUCUGCAUUCAUGCAAUAUUUAUCAUUCAUCAAUACCAAAUUGUAUUGAAAUACAUCGUCAAUCCAUUCAUGGGAUUUAAAUAGGUAGUGCAUUCCAAAAUGUUGCAACAUACAAAUGAAUGCACAACCAGAGCAUGACCAGAGAUUUUUCGUUUGCAAUUGUUUGGUCCUCUAGCUGACAGUCUACCAUGGUUAACAAAUCACAAUAAUUUAAUAACAAUUUCUUUCCCUUAGCACCUCACCAUGGGGCAGGACCGCAACAACCGUUGCCAAAACAACUCCGGAGAGUUACUCAAGGAACGGCAGUCCCUCCUCUUCUCCCUCCACCCCCUCCACCCCCGACAUCAACCCUGAGCCUGCGGCCAACAGAGGAGCCUUCUUCCAUCCCCGCCAUCGGACCAACAUGGCGAGGGGGAAGAAUGAAUGAGUCCAUUCCCUGCUCUGUGGCUGAAGUGCACAUCCUGAACCUGCUGGAGACGAUUAAACAGCAGCAAGACCAGCUCGUGGCAAAGGUCAACUACCUCUGCAGCAGGAUGAACAGCACCCCGGGGACAGAAGUUGAGAUGCCUGAAAAUAUUAAUCUCCCGUUGGAACACCUGGAGGCAGUGGAGGAAUUUGAGGUGUUUUUAAAAGAACCCUCAAACCACCCAGCUCGACAGAGAAUAGUGAGUCUUCUUAAUAUGAAUGGUCCAUGCUAUAAUGCUAUUAGGUAUAUUGAUUGA
rnacentral:lncRNA from 1 species